AUUGAACGCUGGCGGCAGGCCUAACACAUGCAAGUCGAGCGGAUGAAGGGAGCUUGCUCCUGGAUUCAGCGGCGGACGGGUGAGUAAUGCCUAGGAAUCUGCCUGGUAGUGGGGGAUAACGUCCGGAAACGGGCGCUAAUACCGCAUACGUCCUGAGGGAGAAAGUGGGGGAUCUUCGGACCUCACGCUAUCAGAUGAGCCUAGGUCGGAUUAGCUAGUUGGUGGGGUAAAGGCCUACCAAGGCGACGAUCCGUAACUGGUCUGAGAGGAUGAUCAGUCACACUGGAACUGGAACACGGUCCAGACUCCUACGGGAGGCAGCAGUGGGGAAUAUUGGACAAUGGGCGAAAGCCUGAUCCAGCCAUGCCGCGUGUGUGAAGAAGGUCUUCGGAUUGUAAAGCACUUUAAGUUGGGAGGAAGGGCAGCAAGUUAAUACCUUGCUGUUUUGACGUUACCAACAGAAUAAGCACCGGCUAACUUCGUG
rnacentral:rRNA from 1 species